rnacentral:rRNA from 1 species
UACGUAGGGUGCGAGCGUUGUCCGGAAUUAUUGGGCGUAAAGAGCUCGUAGGCGGUGUGUCACGUCGGCCGUGAAAACCUGCAGCUUAACUGUGGGCGUGCGGUCGAUACGGGCAUCACUGGAGUUCGGCAGGGGAGACUGGAAUUCCUGGUGUAGCGGUGAAAUGCGCAGAUAUCAGGAGGAACAUCGGUGGCGAAGGCGGGUCUCUGGGCCGAUACUGACGCUGAGGAGCGAAAGCCAGGGGAGCAAACGGG